UUGAUGGGGUUAGCCGCAAGGCGAGGCUCUUGAUCGAAGCCCCAGUAAACGGCGGCCGUAACUAUAACGGUCCUAAGGUAGCGAAAUUCCUUGUCGGGUAAGUUCCGACCUGCACGAAUGGCGUAAUGAUGGCCAGGCUGUCUCCACCCGAGACUCAGUGAAAUUGAACUCGCUGUGAAGAUGCAGUGUCCCCGCGGCAAGACGGAAAGACCCCGUGAACCUUUACUAUAGCUUGACACUGAACAUGGAGCCUUGAUGUGUAGGAUAGGUGGGAGGCCCGGAAGUGCGGACGCCAGUCCGCAUGGAGCCAUCCUUGAAAUACCACCCUUGAAUGUUCGAUGUUCUCACUUAAGCCCGUCAUCCGGGCUGAGGACAGUGUCUGGCGGGUAGUUUGACUGGGGCGGUCUCCUCCCAAAGGGUAACGGAGGAGCACGAAGGUUGGCUAAUCACGGUCGGACAUCGUGAGGUUAGUGCAAAGGCAUAAGCCAGCUUAACUGCGAGAGUGACGGCUCGAGCAGGUACGAAAGUAGGUCUUAGUGAUCCGGUGGUUCUGAAUGGAAGGGCCAUCGCUCAACGGAUAAAAGGUACUCCGGGGAUAACAGGCUGAUACCGCCCAAGAGUUCAUAUCGACGGCGGUGUUUGGCACCUCGAUGUCGGCUCAUCACAUCCUGGGGCUGAAGUAGGUCCCAAGGGUAUGGCUGUUCGCCAUUUAAAGUGGUACGCGAGCUGGGUUUAGAACGUCGUGAGACAGUUCGGUCCCUAUCUGCCGUGGGCGCAGGAAGAUUGAAAGGGGCUGCUCCUAGUACGAGAGGACCGGAGUGGACGCACCGCUGGUGUACGGGUUGUCAUGCCAAUGGCAUAGCCCGGUAGCUAAGUGCGGGAGAGAUAACCGCUGAAAGCAUCUAAGCGGGAAACUUGCCUUGAGAUGAGUCUUCCCUUGACUUAGAGUCACGGAAGGAACGUUUAAGACGAAGACGUGGAUAGGCUGGGUGUGUAAGUGCAGCGAUGCAUUGAGCUGACCAGUACUAAUGAACCGAGCGGCUUAACCUUACAACGCCGAAGGGGUUUUG
rnacentral:rRNA from 1 species